GAANUGGGGGAACCCUGAUCCAGCGACGCCGCGUGUGUGAAGAAGGCCUGCGGGUUGUAAAGCACUUUUAGUGGGGACAAAAAGCUACGGAUUAAUACUCUGUGGUCUUGAUUUAACCCAAAGAAAAAGCACCGGCUAACUCUGUGCCAGCAGCCGCGGUAAUACAGAGGGUGCGAGCGUUAAUCGGAAUUACUGGGCGUAAAGCGCGCGUAGACGGUUUUGUAAGUCAGAUGUGAAAUCCCUGGGCUCAACCUGGGAACUGCAUUUGAGACUGCAUGGCUAGAGUAUGGAAGAGGGAAGUGGAAUUUCCGGUGUAGCGGUGAAAUGCGUAGAUAUCGGAAGGAACACCAGUGGCGAAAGCGACUUCCUGGUCCAAUACUGACGUUCAUGUGCGAAAGCGUGGGGAGCAAACAGGAUUAGAUACCCUGGUAGUCCACGCCAUAAACGAUGACAACUAGAUGUUGGGAGGGUCUGCCUCUCGGUGUCGCAGCUAACGCGUUAAGUUGUCCGCCUGGGGAGUACGGCCGCAAGGUUGAAACUCAAAGAAAUUGACGGA
rnacentral:rRNA from 1 species